CAUUAGCUAGUUGGUGAGGUAACGGCUCACCAAGGCCACGAUGCAUAGCCGACCUGAGAGGGUGAUCGGCCACAUUGGGACUGAGACACGGCCCAAACUCCUACGGGAGGCAGCAGUAGGGAAUCUUCGGCAAUGGACGAAAGUCUGACCGAGCAACGCCGCGUGAGUGAAGAAGGUUUUCGGAUCGUAAAACUCUGUUGUUAGAGAAGAACAAGGAUGAGAGUAACUGUUCAUCCCUUGACGGUAUCUAACCAGAAAGCCACGGCUAACUACGUGCCAGCAGCCGCGGUAAUACGUAGGUGGCAAGCGUUGUCCGGAUUUAUUGGGCGUAAAGCGAGCGCAGGCGGUUUCUUAAGUCUGAUGUGAAAGCCCCCGGCUCAACCGGGGAGGGUCAUUGGAAACUGGGAGACUUGAGUGCAGAAGAGGAGAGUGGAAUUCCAUGUGUAGCGGUGAAAUGCGUAGAUAUAUGGAGGAACACCAGUGGCGAAGGCGGCUCUCUGGUCUGUAACUGACGCUGAGGCUCGAAAGCGUGGGGAGCAAACAGGAUUAGAUACCCUGGUAGUCCACGCCGUAAACGAUGAGUGCUAAGUGUUGGAGGGUUUCCGCCCUUCAGUGCUGCAGCUAACGCAUUAAGCACUCCGCCUGGGGAGUACGACCGCAAGGUUGAAACUCAAAGGAAUUGACGGGGGCCCGCACAAGCGGUGGAGCAUGUGGUUUAAUUCGAAGCAACGCGAAGAACCUUACCAGGUCUUGACAUCCUUUGACCACUCUAGAGAUAGAGCUUCCCCUUCGGGGGCAAAGUGACAGGUGGUGCAUGGUUGUCGUCAGCUCGUGUCGUGAGAUGUUGGGUUAAGUCCCGCAACGAGCGCAACCCUUAUUGUUAGUUGCCAUCAUUCAGUUGGGCACUCUAGCAAGACUGCCGGUGACAAACCGGAGGAAGGUGGGGAUGACGUCAAAUCAUCAUGCCCCUUAUGACCUGGGCUACACACGUGCUACAAUGGGAAGUACAACGAGUUGCGAAGUCGCGAGGCUAAGCUAAUCUCUUAAAGCUUCUCUCAGUUCGGAUUGCAGGCUGCAACUCGCCUGCAUGAAGCCGGAAUCGCUAGUAAUCGCGGAUCAGCACGCCGCGGUGAAUACGUUCCCGGGCCUUGUACACACCGCCCGUCACACCACGAGAGUUUGUAACACCCGAAGUCGGUGAGGUAACCUUUUGGAGCCAGCCGCCUAAGGUGGGAUAGAUGAUUGGGGUGAAGUCGUAACAAGGUAGCCGUAUCGGAAGGUGCGGCUGGAUCACCUCCUUUCUAAGGAA
rnacentral:rRNA from 1 species